GAACGCUAGCGGCAGGCUUAAUACAUGCAAGUCGAGGGGUAGCAUGAUUGUAGCAAUACAAUUGAUGACGACCGGCAAACGGGUGCGGAACACGUACACAACCUUCCUACAAGUGGGGAAUAGCCCAGAGAAAUUUGGAUUAAUACCCCGUAACAUAGCGAUGUGGCAUCACAUUGCUAUUAUAGCUUCGGCGCUUGUUGAUGGGUGUGCGGCUGAUUAGAUAGUUGGCGGGGUAACGGCCCACCAAGUCUACGAUCAGUAGCUGAUGUGAGAGCAUGAUCAGCCACACGGGCACUGAGACACGGGCCCGACUCCUACGGGAGGCAGCAGUAAGGAAUAUUGGACAAUGGACGCAAGUCUGAUCCAGCCAUGCCGCGUGGAUGAUGAAGGCCUUAGGGUUGUAAAAUCCUUUCAACGGGGACGAUAAUGACGGUACCCGUAGAAGAAGCCCCGGCUAACUUCGUG
rnacentral:rRNA from 1 species